AUUGAACGCUGGCGGCAUGCCUUACACAUGCAAGUCGAACGGCAGCGCGGACUUCGGUCUGGCGGCGAGUGGCGAACGGGUGAGUAACAUAUCGGAACGUGCCAGGAAGUGGGGGAUAACUAGUCGAAAGAUUAGCUAAUACCGCAUACGCACCGAGGGGGAACGUGGGGGAUCGCAAGACCUCAUGCUUGCUGAGCGGCCGAUAUCCGAUUAGCUAGUUGGUGGGGUAAAGGCCCACCAAGGCGACGAUCAGUAGCUGGGCUUAGAGGGCGACCAGCCACACUGGGACUGAGACACGGCCCAGACGCCUACGGGAGGCAGCAGUGGGGAAUUUUGGAAAAUGGGGGCAACCCUGAUCCAGCAAUGCCGCGUGAGUGAAGAAGGCAUUCGGGUUGUAAAGCUCUUUGGUCCGGGAAGAAAUCCCACCUGCUAAUACCGGGUGGGGAUGACGGUACUGGAAGAAUAAGCACCGGCUAACUACGUGCCAGCCGCCGCGGUAAGAC
rnacentral:rRNA from 1 species